UACAAGUUGUGCUAUUUCUGAUCAUUUGCUCAUCAUCUGCAAGCACAGGGUUCGGAUCAACAAACGACACUUUGCCGCAUUUCAGUCGUAGCAGCUUCCCCCAAGGCUUUGUAUUCGGAGCUGCUUCGUCUGCCUAUCAAUCAUGCAAAACUCUCGGCGUUACGUGUCCAUCUUUCUGUGUGGUUAAUUGUUUGGUACGUAGUAUGAAGGCGCUGCGUCUGAAGGUGGGAGAGGACCAAGCAUAUGGGACACUUACACCCACAAAUUUCCAGAUAAAAUAGCUGACCGGAGCAACGCAGACGUGGCUGACAACUUCUAUCAUCUGUAUAAGGUGGGAAGCUAAGUGGGGGAGUGAACAAGGAAGGAAUUGCCUUUUACAACAAUGUCUUCAACGAGC